rnacentral:lncRNA from 1 species
UGAUUACAAUGGGUUGUGAACUAAGCGCAGUUGAUAACAAAUUAGUCAUACAUACAUAUUUGUUGAGGCACCAAAAUAUUGGUCCUAGAGACCGCAAAAGGUGGCAUGUCAGAACUAUAGAGAUAUGCCCUUUUAUCUACCAUGUUUGAUUCAGCAUGGAGAUCUUGUUUGCAUCAAAAGAAAGUUCAGGGGACUUUAUCAAGCAAAUAUGCUUUACAGCGGAUUAGGCUAAAGUUUGCAAAAGAUAGCGUGUGAGAAGCAAGCAAAUUUGGUGUUUUAAACAACCAUCUUUAGUUCUCUUGGACAUCAUCAUCACUGCUUUGGAUAUGUAAACAUCCUUUUCUUAACCUGCAUAUUUUUUUAAAGUAGUAAGUAAUUGUAGGCUUGAAUCAGGUCAGUAUAGAUCGAUGUAGAGGUUAAUGUAGGAAACAAUUUAUGAGAAGGUAAAUAUGUUAAUCUAAAGCAAAGUAAAAAAGAAAUAAAGGUUCUUGUAUAUGAGCAUCACAAAAUGUUUGUAUCUUCUUUAAGUGUAUCUUGCAUGGUACGUAAAACAGAUGCAUGCAACAUGGUAUGGUUUCGUUCUGUGUUGAUCAUAGUCUACAAACUUCUUAGUAGCAGCUGGAACUCAUUUAAUGGAGGUGUAUGAAUGGUGAAAGGGAAUUAGGCUUACACCUAUUUCCUAAACUAAUUUUGGUGGUUGAAUUGCCCAGCACAAAUAAUUGGACUAGCUAGUUUGCCCAAGUCUAUAAGUUAUACAGGUACCAAAGGUUCACAAUAAGCCAAUAAAAAGACCAAGAAAAGGGUUCAACAAAAGGAGCAAAGGGACAACCGAAGGUACCCUGGUCUGGCGCACCGGACUGUCUAGUGCACCACCGGACUGUCCGGUGUACACCGGACAGUGUCCGGUGCUCCAGGAAUGAAGCGACUCUGAACUCGCCAGCUUCGGGAAUUCGCAACGGCUACUCCGCUAUAAUUCACCGGACAUGUCCGGUGUACACCGGACUGUCCGGUGUAACAGCGGAGCAACGACAACUUCAGCGCCAACGGUCACCUGCAGGCGCAUUAAAUGCGCGCCAGAGCGUGCAGAAGUCAGGCACGCGCGAACAGGCGCACCGGACACUCUACAGUGCAUGUCCGGUGCGCCACCGGACAUCAAGGCGGGCCCAGCGUCAGAGCUCCAACGGUCGGAACCCUAGCGUUCGGGUGACGUGGCUGGCGCACCGGACAUGUCCGGUGUGCACCGGACUGUCCGGUGCACCAUGCGACAGACAGCCUCCACCCAAACGGCUAGUUUGGUGGUUGGGGCUAUAAAUACCCCCAACCACCCCACAUUCAAGUCAUCCAAGUUUUCCACCUUCCAACCACUUACAAGAGCUAGGCAUUCAAUUCUAGACACACUCAAGUGAUCAAAUCCUCUCCAAUUCCACACAAGGCUUUAGUGAUUAGCGAGAGAGAUUUGCCGUGUUCUUUUGAGAUCUUGCUCUUGGAUUGCUUCUUUCUUUCUCACUUGUUCUUGUGAUCAAAACUCCAUUGUAACCGAGGCAAGAGACACCAAUUGUGUGGUGGUCCUUGCGGGGAAGUUUUGUUCCCGGUUUGAUUUGAGAAGAGAAGCUCACUCGGUCCGAGGGACCGUUUGAGAGAGGGAAAGGGUUGAAAGAGACCCGGUCUUUGUGACCACCUCAACAGGGAGUAGGUUUGCAAGAACUGAACCUCGGUAAAACAAAUCCGCGUGUCACACUCUUCAUUCGCUUGCGAUUUGUUUUGCACCCUCUCUCUCGGACUCUUUAUUAUUUCUAACGCUAACCCGGCUUGUAGUUGUGAUUAUAUUUGUAAAUUUCAGUUUCGCCCUAUUCACCCCCCCCCCUCUAGGCGACUUUCAAUUGGUAUCGGAGCCUGGUGCUUCAUUAGAGCCUAACCGCUCGAAGUGAUGUCGGGAGAUCACGCCAAGAAGGAGAUGGAGACCGGCGACAAGCCCACUACAAGCCACGGGUCGACUUCAUCGGAAGAGUCCCGCAACAAGAGGAAGGAGAAGAAAAACUCCUCCAACAAAGGGAAGGGGAAGGAGAAGAGAUCCUCUUCCCACAAGUCGCAUCGGAGAGGCGACAAGCACAAAAGGAUGAGGAAAGUGGUCUACUACGAGACCGACACUUCAUCAACGUCGACCUCCGGCUCCGACGCGCCGUCCGUUACUUCUAAGCGCUAAGAGCGCAAGAAGUAUAGUAAGAUCCCCCUACGCUACCCUCGCACUCCUAAACAUACACCUUUACUUUCCGUCCCAUUAGGCAAACCGCCAACAUUUGAUGGUGAAGAUUAUGCUAGGUGGAGUGAUAUGAUGCGAUAUCACCUAACCUCACUCCACAAAAGUAUAUGGGAUGUUGUUGAGUUUUGUGUACAGGUACCAUCCAUAGGGGAUGAAGAUUAUGAUGAGGACGAAGUGGCCCAAAUCGAGCACUUCAACUCCCAAGCCACCACUAUACUCCUCACCUCUCUAAGUCGAGAGGAGUAUAACAAGGUGCAAGGGUUGAAGAGCGCCAAGGAGAUUUGGGACGUGCUAAAGACCGCGCACGAGGGGGAGCUCGGUCGCUUCCGUCUUCGCCACGGGGAGGAGCCACAAGACAUGUACAACUGGCUCAAAACCUUGGUGAACCAAGUGCACAACCUCGAGAGCAAAAAAUGGGAUGACCACAAAGUGGUUAAGGUUAUUCUAAGAUCACUUGUUUUCCUUAACCCUACUCAAGUUCAAUUAAUUCGUGGCAAUCCUAGAUAUACUCAAAUGACCCCCGAGGAAGUUAUAGGUAAUUUUGUGAGCUUUGAGUUGAUGAUCAAAGGAUCAAAGAAGAUCAACGAGCUUGACGGCCCCUCCACAUCCGAAGCACAACCGGUCGCAUUCAAGGCAACGGAAGAAAAGAAGGAGGAAUCUACUCCAAGUCGAACACCCAUCGACGCCUCUAAGCUCGACAACGAGGAGAUAGCGCUCAUCAUCAAGAGCUUCCGUCAAAUCCUCAAGCAAAGGAGGGGGAAAGACUACAAGCCCCGCUCCAAGAGAGUUUGCUACAAGUGUGGUAAGCCCGGUCAUUUUAUAGCAAAAUGUCCACUAUCUAGUGACAGUGACAGGGGCGACGACAAGAAGGGCAAGAGAAGAGAAAAGAAGAGGUACCACAAGAAGAAGGGCGGCGAUGCCCAUGUUUGCCGGGAGUGGGACUCGGACGAGAGCUCCACCGACUCCUCCUCCGACGAGGACGCCACAAACAUCGCCGUCACCAAGGGUCUUCUCUUCCCCAACGUCGGCCACAAAUGCCUCAUGGCCAAGGAGGGAAAAAGGAAGAAGGUAAAAUCAAGAUCCUCCACCAAAUAUGAAACAUCUAGCGAUGAGGAUAAUGCUAGUAAUGAGGAGGAUAACUUGCGCAUUCUUUUUGCCGACCUAAACAUGCAACAAAAGGAAAAACUAAAUGAGCUAAUUAGUGUCAUCCAUGAAAAGGAUGAUCUCUUGGACUCCCAAGAGGACUUCAUAAUCAAGGAAAAUAAAAAGCAUGUUAAGGUUAAGAAUGCUUAUGCUCUAGAAGUAGAAAAAUGUGAGAAAUUAUCUAGUGAGCUAAGCACAUGCCAUGACACUAUUGCCAACCUUAGAAAUGAAAAUGCCAAAUUAAUUGCUAAGGUUGAUUCUCAUGUUUGUGAUGUUUCAAUUCCCAAUCUUAGAAAUGAUUAUGAUGAUUUGCUUGCUAAGAUUGAAGAAUUAAACAUCUCUCUUGCUAGCCUUAGGGUUGAAAAUAAAAAAUUAAUUGCUAAGGCUAAAGAAUUAGAUGUUUGCAAUGUUACAAUUUCUGAUCUUAGAGAUAACAAUGAUAUUUUGCGUGCUAAGAUUGUUGAAUUUAAUUCUUGCAAACCCUCUACAUCUACCAUUGAGCAUGUUUCUAUUUGCACUAGAUGUAGAGAUAUUGAUAUUGAUGCUAUUCAUGAUCACAUGGCUUUAAUUAAACAACAAAAUGAUCAUAUAGCAAAAUUAGAUGCUAAAAUUGCCGAGCAUAACUUAGAAAAUGAAAAGUUUAAAUUUGCUAGAAGUAUGCUCUAUAAUGGGAGACGCCCUGGCAUCAAGGAUGGCAUUGGCUUCCAAAGGGGAGACAAUGUCAAACUUAAUGCCCCUCCUAAGAAAUUGUCUAAUUUUGUUAAGGGCAAGGCUCCCAUGCCUCAGGAUAACGAGGGUUACAUUUUGUACCCUGCCGGUUAUCCCGAGAGCAAAAUUAAGAGAAUUCAUUCUAGGAAGUCUCACUCUGGCCCUAAUCAUGCUUUUAUGUAUAAGGGUGAGACAUCUAGUUCUAGGCAACCAACCCGUGCUAAAUUGCCUAAGAAGAAAACUCCUAGUGCAUCAAAUGAUCAUAACAUCUCAUUUAAAACUUUUGAUGCAUCUUAUGUGCUUACUAACAAAUCUGGCAAGGUAGUUGCCAAGUUUGUUGGGGGUAAACACAAGGGCUCCAAGACUUGUGUUUGGGUACCCAAAGUUCUUGUGUCUAAUGCCAAAGGACCCAAAACCGUUUGGGUACCUAAAGUCAAGAACUAAAAUUGUUUUGUAGGUUUAUGCAUCCGGGGGCUCAAGUUGGAUCAUCGAUAGCAGGUGCACAAACCACAUGACAGGGGAGAAAAAGAUGUUCUCCUCCUACGAGAAAAACCAAGAUCCCCAAUGAGCUAUCACAUUCGGGGAUGGAAACCAAGGUUUGGUCAAAGGUUUGGGUAAAAUAGCUAUAUCUCCUGACCAUUCCAUUUCCAAUGUUUUUCUUGUUGAUUCACUAGAUUAAAAUUUGCUUUCUGUAUCUCAAUUGUGUCAAAUGGGGUACAACUGUCUAUUUAAUGAUGUAGGUGUCACUGUCUUUAGAAGAAGUGAUGAUUCAAUAGCAUUUAAGGGAGUGUUAGAGGGUCAGCUAUACUUGGUAGAUUUUGAUAGAGAUGAACUCGACACUUGCUUAAUUGCUAAGACUAACAUGGGUUGGCUCUGGCACCACCGACUAGCUCAUGUUGGAAUGAAGAAUCUUUAUAAGCUUCUAAAGGGAGAGCACAUUUUAGGAUUAACAAAUGUCCAUUUUGAGAAAGACAGGAUUUGUAGCGCUUGCCAAGCAGGGAAGCAAGUUGGUGUUCAUCAUCCACAUAAGAACAUCAUGACGACUGACAGGCCACUGGAGCUCCUACACAUGGAUCUAUUCGGCCUGAUUGCUUACAUAAGCAUCGACGGGAGUAAGUACUGUCUAGUUAUUGUGGAUUAUUAUUCUCGCUUCACUUGGGUGUUCUUUUUGCAGGAAAAAUCACAAACCCAAGAGACUUUAAAGGGAUUCUUGAGACAGGCUCAGAAUGAGUUCGGCUUAAGGAUCAAGAAAAUUAGAAGCGACAACGGGACGGAGUUCAAGAACUCACAAAUUGAAGGCUUCCUUGAGGAGGAGGGCAUCAAGCAUGAGUUCUCUUCUCCCUACACCCUACAACAAAAUGGUGUAGUGGAGAGGAAGAAUCGAACUCUAUUGGACAUGGCAAGAACCAUGCUUGAUGAGUACAAGACACCGGAUCGGUUUUGGGCCGAGGCGGUCAACACCGCCUGCUACGCCAUCAACCGGUUAUAUCUGCACCGAAUCCUCAAGAAGACAUCCUAUGAACUCCUAACCGGUAAAAAGCCCAAUAUUUCGUAUUUUAGAGUUUUUGGUAGCAAAUGCUUUAUUCUUGUUAAAAGAGGUAGAAAAUCCAAAUUUGCUCCUAAAACUGUAGAAGGCUUUUUACUAGGAUAUGACUCAAACACAAGGGCAUAUAGAGUCUUUAACAAGUCCUCAGGACUUGUUGAAGUUUCUUGUGACGUUGUGUUUGAUGAAACUAACGGCUCUCAAGUAGAGCAAGUUGAUUUUGAUGAGAUAGGUGAAGAACAGGCUCCGUGCAUCGCGCUAAGGAACAUGUCCAUUGGGGAUGUGUGCCCUAAGGAAUCCGAAGAGCCUCCACAUGCACAAGAUCAAUCAUCCUCCUCCACGCAAGCAUCUCCACCAACUCAAAAUGAGGACGAGGCUCAAGUUGAUAAAGGAGAAGAUCAAAGAGUUGAGCCACCUCAAGAUGACGGCAAUAAUCAAGGGGGAGAUGCAAAUAAUCAAGACAAGGAGGAUGAAGAACCAAGACCACCACACCCAAGAGUCCACCAAGCAAUCCAACGAGAUCACCCCGUCGACACCAUCCUCGGCGAUAUUCAUAAGGGGGUAACCACUAGAUCUCGUGUUGCACAUUUUUGUAAGCAUUACUCUUUUGUUUCCUCUAUUGAGCCACACAGGGUAGAGGAAGCACUACAAGAUUCGGAUUGGGUGAUGGCGAUGCAAGAGGAGCUCAACAACUUCACGAGGAAUGAGGUAUGGCAUUUAGUUCCACGUCCUAAUAAAAAUGUUGUAGGAACCAAAUGGGUCUUCCGCAACAAGAAAGAUGAGCAUGGUGUGGUGACAAGGAAUAAAGCUCGACUUGUGGCCAAGGGAUACUCCCAAGUCGAAGGUUUGGAUUUUGGUGAAACCUAUGCACCCGUAGCUAGGCUUGAGUCAAUUCGUAUAUUAUUAGCCUAUGCUACUUACCAUGGCUUCAAGCUUUACCAAAUGGACAUGAAGAGUGCUUUCCUCAAUGGACCAAUCAAGGAAGAGGUCUACGUUGAGCAACCUCCCGGCUUUGAAGACAGUGAGUACCCUAAUCAUGUCUAUAGGCUCUCUAAGGCGCUUUAUGGGCUCAAGCAAGCCCCAAGAGCUUGGUAUGAAUGCCUUAGAGAUUUCCUUAUUGCUAAUGGUUUCAAAGUCGGCAAGGCCGAUCCUACUUUAUUUACUAAAACUCUUGACAAUGAUUUGUUUGUAUGCCAAAUCUAUGUCUAUGAUGGGGGAGUUAAAGUAUUUCUUGGGAUUUCAAGUAAAGCAACUCCAAGAGGGCACCUUCAUUUGCCAAACAAAGUACACUCAAGACAUUCUAAACAAGUUUGGGAUGAAGGAUGCCAAGCCCGUCAAGACUCCCAUGGGAACAAAUGGGCAUCUCGACCUCGACACAGGAGGUAAGUCCGUGGAUCAAAAGGUAUACCGGUCGAUGAUAGGUUCAUUGCUUUACUUAUGUGCAUCUCGACCGGACAUUAUGCUUUCCGUAUGCAUGUGUGCAAGAUUCCAAGCCGACCCUAAGGAAUCUCACCUUACGGCCGUAAAACGAAUCUUGAGAUAUUUGGCUUAUACUCCUAAGUUUGGGCUUUGGUACCCUCGGGGAUCCACGUUUGAUUUACUUGGUUAUUCGGAUGCCGAUUGGGCAGGGUGCAAGAUCAAUAGAAAGAGCACAUCGGGGACUUGCCAGUUCUUGGGAAGGUCCUUGGUGCCUUGGGCUUCAAAGAAGCAAAAUUCGGUCGCUCUUUCUACCGCCGAAGCCGAGUACAUUGCCGCAGGUCACUGUUGUGCGCAAUUGCUUUGGAUGAGGCAAACCCUGCGGGACUAUGGUUACAAAUUAACCAAAGUUCCUCUUCUAUGUGAUAAUGAGAGUGCAAUCCGCAUGGCGGAUAAUCCCGUUGAGCAUAGUCGCACUAAGCACAUAGCCAUUCGGUAUCAUUUUCUUAGGGAUCACCAACAAAAGGGGGAUAUUGAGAUUGCAUACAUUAAUACUAAAGAUCAAUUAGCCGAUAUCUUUACCAAGCCACUUGAUGAACAAACUUUUACCAAACUUAGGCAUGAGCUCAAUAUUCUUGAUUCUAGGAAUUUCUUUUGCUAAUUUGCACACAUAGCUCAUAAGUAUACCUUUGAUCAUGUCUCUUUGAUAUAUGCUAUGACUAAUGCGUUUUCAAGUGUAUUUCAAACCAAGUCAUAGGUAUAUUGAAAGGGAAUUGGAGUCUUCGGCGAAGACAAGGCUUCCACUUCACUCUAUCACCCAUCCUUCGUCGUCGCUCCGAGCAUCUCUCCAUCUUUGGUAUAAUCUUCACUCCUAUGUUUUAUUUGCCAAAGGGGAGAAAGUAGUUAUCAAAGGGCUUAUAUUUCACUCUAAGUAUCCGUUUUUGGCGAUUCAUGCCAAAGGGGGAGAAAGUAUAGCCCAAAGCAAAAGGACCGCACCACCACCCUAAUUUUAAAAAUUAAUGAUUUUCAAUUGGUAAAUUUCAAAUUGGUCUCUCUUUGUGUUCUAAAGGGGGAGAAAGUAGUAUUUUCAAAAAUUGAUGUCAUAAAACCCUCUUGAACACUAGGAGGAGAAUUUAUUUGAGGGGGAGUUUUGUUUAGUCAAAGGAAAAGCAUUUGAAACAAAGGGAGAAAAUUUCAAAUCUUGAAAAUGCUUCGCAAAAUCUUAUUCAUUUACCUUUGACUAUUUGCAAAAAGACUGUGAAAAGGGUUUACAAAAAGAAUUUGCAAAAAACAAAACAUGUGGUGCAAGCGUGGUCCAAAAUGUUAAAAAUGAAGAAACAAUCCAUGCAUAUCUAGUAAGUAAUAUUUAUUGGCUCAAUUCUAAGUAACCUUUGCACUUACAUUUUGCAAACUAGUUCAAUUAUCCACUUCUAUAUUUGUUUUGGUUUGUGUUGGCAUCAAUCACCAAAAAGGGGGAGAUUGAAAGGGAAUUAGGCUUACACCUAUUUCCUAAACUAAUUUUGGUGGUUGAAUUGCCCAACACAAAUAAUUGGACUAACUAGUUUGCCCAAGUCUAUAAGUUAUACAUGUACCAAAGGUUCACAAUAAGCCAAUAAAAAGACCAAGAAAAGUGUUCAACAAAAGGAGCAAAGGGACAACCGAAGGUACCCUGGUCUGGCGCACCGGACUGUCCGGUGCACCACCGGACUGUCCAGUGUACACCGGACAGUGUCCGGUGCUCCAGGAAUGAAGCGACUCUGAACUCGCCAGCUUCGGGAAUUCGCAACGGCUACUCCGCUAUAAUUCACCGGACAUGUCCGGUGUACACCUGACUGUCCGGUGUAACAGUGGAGCAACGGCUACUUCAGCGCCAACGGUCACCUGCAGGCGCAUUAAAUGCGCGCCAGAGCGCGCAAAAGUCAGGCACGCGCGAACAGGCGCACCGGACACUCUACAGUGCAUGUCCGGUGCGCCACCGGACAUCAAGGCGGGCCUAGCGUCAGAGCUCCAACGGUCGGAACCCUAGCAUUCGGGUGACGUGGCUGGCGCACCAGACAUGUCCGGUGUGCACCGGACUAUCCGGUGCACCAUGCGACAGACAGCCUCCACCCAAACGGCUAGUUUGGUGGUUGGGGCUAUAAAUACCCCCAAUCACCCCACAUUCAAGUCAUCCAAGUUUUUCACCUUCCAACCACUUACAAGAGCUAGGCAUUCAAUUCUAGACACACUCAAGUGAUCAAAUCCUCUCCAAUUCCACACAAGGCUUUAGUGAUUAGCGAGAGAGAUUUGUCGUGUUCUUUUGAGCUCUUGCGCUUGGAUUGCAUCUUUCUUUCUCACUUGUUCUUGUGAUCAAAACUCCAUUGUAACCGAGGCAAGAGACACCAAUUGUGUGGUGGUCCUUGCGGGGAAGUUUUGUUCCCGGUUUGAUUUGAGAAGAGAAGCUCACUCGGUCCGAGGGACCGUUUGAGAGAGGGAAAGGGUUGAAAGAGACCCGGUCUUUGUGACCACCUCAAAGGGGAGUAGGUUUGUAAGAACCGAACCUUGGUAAAACAAAUCCACGUGUCACACUCUUCAUUCGCUUGCGAUUUGUUUUGCGCCCUCUCUCUCGGACUCUUUAUUAUUUCUAACGCUAACCCGGCUUGUAGUUGUGAUUAUAUUUGUAAAUUUCAGUUUCGCCCUAUUCACCCCCCCCCCCUCUAGGCGACUUUCAAAUGGUGUUAGCACAUGAUAGCAAGAAGGAUACUAACGUUUGUCUAUAUCUCAGUCCUUGUAGUUGGUAGACAUUUGGAUUGUAUAGGAAUUUUUAAUUUGGAUCCUAUUUCUAGAAGGUCCAAUUUGGUGUAUUUUUUAGAAAUUCCUAAGUUGUUACCUAGAUUCUAUUUGGUGCGGUUAUCUGCGACUACUUAUGGCAGCAUGGAACUUGUGUGUGGUAGCUUCUUUGUAGAUUGUAGUAUUUUGAUUAACUGCAUUAUCAGUCAUAUUGUCAGGUUGUAUGUCGGCACACAUUCAACGUUUUUAUACCUAAAGCUCCUUCUUGAUGCUAAGUGUAGUAAGGCGCUAUUGUUAGGAAGUUCUGCAGAUGGAUGACUUCUGUAACUCUUAGGGGUUUUGGAGCAAGUGAAAUGGAGAUUGAGGGGGUUAAAAUUGCUUACUAAGAUAAACAUAUAGAAGAUGCUACCUCCGUUCUCGAAUAUUUGUCACCAGCUAGUUCAUUUUUAAACUAAACCGCGACAAAUAAAAAAAUGAGAGUAUAUAUGUUUAGAAGCAUUACCUUUUCGGAGGAGAUUCGAUAAGGUCAUAUUGCCUUUUCCUUUGAUCUGACUUGUGUUCAUUGUUUGCUCCUAUAGAAAGAAAAUAUGGAUUAGUUUAAUGUACUUACUUUUUCUAAUAGAGUGAGUAACAGAUGUUAAUAUGUUUGUGGUUGUUUUUUUAUAUCAAGUGGAAGUGGCGUAUCUUUGUAAUUUUCACUUCGGCAUCAGAUUUGGGAGUAUGUUGAUAUGUGAGAGGGUUACUGAGCGAUGGAUAUGUCAGCUUCUUUGCAGCCUAAAAGUAAACAUUAUAUGACAUAAUUUAGCUGUGAGAUGUUAUAUAAUUAGGAGAAAAGAAGUAGUUUACUUGAUAGUAUGUGUGGCAUGAAUAGAAAGAAAAUACGUACAUGGAAAAGUACAUUGUGAAUGAAUUUGUAUGUAUUCAAUUAGUUGUUAAUGAUUCAUGUUGUUUAGAGUUGUAGCAACUAAUGACUUGAAAUUUUAAAAAAUUAAACAUGUGUGUUUUAGUGAGGAAUAAGUGAAAGAAAAAUAUAAAAUUGAUGGUGUGUGCAUUCAUAAACAUGUAUGAAGAAACAUAAUAAUAUAGAGGUGUAUGUGGCAAACAACAAUAAAAAAUGAAAUGAGAGUUCUUGUAUGUAAAUCCAGGAAGAGUGCGAACAAUGCAACUAAUGACUUGAAAUUGUAGAAGAGCUAUACAUAAAUGAUUGUGUAUAUAUUUUAGCAAGUUUCUCAUAUGUUUCCAAUAGUUGUUAAAUGGAAGCAUGAAUAGAACGUACGUAGACAUGAAAGCAUGUUCAUUAUGAAAGGCUACUGUUGUGAAAGAAAGAGCAGGUUACACUGAAAGAAUACCUGUUUUUUUGGUAGAAGACACAUAAUAUCAAAUUGAGCUAUCGAUGUUCAAAAGAGGUAAGUGAAAGAAUACUUAAAUUCUGAUGAUGCGUAUAUUUUUUUAAGAUUGAAUAUGUAUAAUGUGACAUUGUAGAGUUGUACAUGACCUAAAGAGAAUGCACCUGUUGUGCAUAGAAUUGGCAAGUUACGUUGUUGAAAUCAGCUUUUGAUGAUUCUAAAUAAUGAGCGAUCAUUUGGUAAACAAUAAGAAACAAAAUUAGUUAUGGUGUAUAGAGGUUAAGGAGUAGUGAGAGUAUAAGAAGGGAAUAUAUCCGGUGCAAAUGAGUCUUUGGUGCAUAUAUGUGCACAUGAACUAACAAAGUUCACAAAAAAUUUUAAAAAAAAAUUAGACAUAUUCUUUCCAUCUUACUCCAAUUAUAUACAAAAUUUCAAGUUCAAAUUCAUUAUACUUUAGCUAUAAUAAAAAAAGAUAAAAUUUCUGACAAGUUUAAAUUAGAAAAUCGGCUAAAAUGUUCUCCUUUUUAUUACAGCUAAAAUAUAACGAAUUUGAGCUUGAAAUUUGUAUAUAAUAAGAGUAGUAUGGAAAGAAUAUGUAUUAUUUUUUUAGAAUUUUUUUUGAACUUCGCUAGUUCAUAUGCAGCAAAGGCUCAUGUGCACCGGAUAUGUUCCCAUAUAAGAAACUAUGCAGGAAUGAUAUCCAUGUAUGUAUUUUGUGCAUCGAAGAAACUAUAUAUGUAUUUGAUGGAAGUUACAGUAUCAGAGAAAUCUGCAGGUUGUAUAAAUCAGCUAUUGAUGAUGCUGAAUAGUAAGUGAGUAUUUCAGAAACAAUAAGAAGCAAAGUUACAUUUCGUGUAUGCAAGUUGAGAAGUCAGAAACUAUGCAUGAAUCAUACCUGUGUAUACAUUUUUUUGGAAAGAUGUAAUGUGGUUAUCUCGGUGGCAUAGUUUAUAAACACACUAAAUAAAUAGGGCUAUAUAUCAAUUGUGAUGUUCUGGACAUCACUUUCACCAAUAUAUAACGACUUACGACUUAGAAACUUUACUGUUUUGUUGAUAAUCAGAUGGGACGUCCGUGUAUUAUUCUUGUUAUAAUUUGUCACAUCUGUACAGGUUGUAGACACGUAUAUGAGAAUUUGCAUUUCGGAAAAAGGAAUGAUGGGAAUGACUAAUUUUGUGCUCGUUCUUAGUUUAUGAUGACCAGGAAAUUUGCACGGCGGAGGAAGAUAGAAGAAAACCCUAAUACCAAGGCUAUACACUUUGUAGGAUGUUGUACCCGUAUUUGCUCAUGGACGAACACAAAAUCAAUUCAAAGCGGGCGAAGCGAGAAUGAAAACCUAAUCAGCUGGAACUGGACUGGGACUGUAUGGAUAAGAAAGCUAGAAGCAAAACAUAAGACCGACUACAUUCGCUUUGAAAAAUGUUCUAGCCGUUGUUGUGCAUCGAUGAGCAGGAAAUGGAAUCACAGUGCGCGAAGCAAAAUGGAAACCCUAACACAAAGGACAUACAAAUCCAAAAGCUUUUGUACCUGCAUGAGUCGGCAGCAUGUUGAGGAUUGGGCGCGCCGGAGAGGAGAGGAUAGAGCAGGGACGUGUGGGGAAGAAGAGACAGCAGAGGGCGCACCGGUACCAGGCCCAUCGCCGCCGACGGAGAAGAGAGGGUGACCCAUUGACCGUCUGUAACACCCUGGGCUUUAAGAGACAAAGCCGG